AUUGAACGCUGGCGGCAGGCUUAACACAUGCAAGUCGAGCGGAGUGAUGGUGCUUGCACUAUCACUUAGCGGCGGACGGGUGGGUAAUGCUUAGGAAUCUGCCAUUUAGUGGGGGACAACAUUCGGAAAGGAAUGCUAAUCCAGCAUCCGCCCUACGGGAGAAAGCAGGGGAUCUUCGGACCUUGGGCUAAAUGAUGAGCCUAAGUCGGAUUAGCUAGUUGGUGGGGUAAAGGCCUACCAAGGCGACGAUCUGUAGCGGGUCUGAGAGGAUGAUCCGCCACACUGGGACUGAGACACGGCCCAGACUCCUACGGGAGGCAGCAGUGGGGAAUAUUGGACAAUGGGCGGAAGCCUGAUCCAGCCAUGCCGCGUGUGUGAAGAAGGCCUUUUGGUUGUAAAGCACUUUAAGCGAGGAGGAGGCUACUAGUACUAAUACUACUGGAUAGUGGACGUUACUCGCAGAAUAAGCACCGGCUAACUCUGCGCCAGCCGCCGCCGUAAGAC
rnacentral:rRNA from 1 species